GUCUGGCUGGCUCAGUCGGUGGAGCAUGCAACUCUUGAUCUCAAGGUUGUAAGUUCAAAUCCCAUGCUAGGUG
rnacentral:tRNA from 1 species